GGGCUUGACAUCCCACGAACCUGCCCGAAAAGGUGGGGUGCCCGCAAGGGAGCGUGGAGACAGGUGGUGCAUGGCUGUCGUCAGCUCGUGUCGUGAGAUGUUGGGUUAAGUCCCGCAACGAGCGCAACCCUCACCCCUAGUUGCCACCGGGUUAAGCCGAGCACUUAAGGGGAACUGCCAGCGUCAAGCUGGAGGAAGGCGGGGAUGACGUCAAGUCAUCAUGCCCCUUACGCCCUGGGCUACACACGUGCUACAAUGGCCAGCACAAAGGGACGCGAGACUGCGAAGUGGAGCUAAUCCCAAAAAGCUGGUCUAAGUUCAGAUUGCAGUCUGCAACUCGACUGCAUGAAGGAGGAAUCGCUAGUAAUCGCGUAUCAGCCCGGCGCGGUGAAUACGUUCCCGGGCCUUGUACACACCGCCCGUCACACCACGAAAGCUGUCUGUACUCGAAGUCGCUGAG
rnacentral:rRNA from 1 species